rnacentral:lncRNA from 1 species
UUCAAAGCAGAAAAAUCGGCGAAUAGAUUAAUGCGGAGAUCUUUAUAUUCUUGCAGUUACACGCUACUUCCAAGCAUUGAAAUGUUCUCCAUAAUCUUAAUUUAGACCGAGGCUUUCUUAUACAUUGAUGGAUAACUAGAGAUAAAGAGGUUUGCGAUUCAUAUGAUCCGCUAUUAUGCGUCUCUAAGCCUUGCCAGGACAUUUUAUUCUUUAUAACUUGGCUGUGAGCUUCCAUCGUCAUUCAAGUCAAGGAUGUCCUGCAACAAACAUCAUGUUAAAGGAAAUAUGUUUAUAUUACCAUUUUUAGAAAUUCAUCCUACAUUAAUACACAAAAGAAACAUUUAGGUACACUCAUAGUGUAAUUUUUAUCCACCUAAGUGAAUCACCACAUAUGCCUAAUGUUAUGAAUUUCCUCAUUUUGAUAUAACUUCUCAUGUGGUUAUUGAUUUGAGAGGACAAGAAUGUCAUCUUUCGAUAGCAACUAUAAAUAUCUCUCGACAUACUCAUUUUGAAAGGAAGAAAGUACUCACUACAUCCUGGGCCCGUAUGUGGGAAAUCUGGAUUGGCAGCACCUACAACAUCCAUAAUUUGCUAAAUUUUACUUAAAUCUAUUCACAAACUCGUCAAUGCUAUUAAAGUGCCAAUUACCAAAUCAGCCUUGGCGAUUUGAUAUUUCAAAAAAGUGAAACAUAAUUCAAAUCACAAUGAUUCAGAUAUUUAGAUUCGAGCAGAAAUAACUAAAGAACUGAACUCACAUAUACAUGAUACACUGCAUAAAUCGUACAACUAGUGUUAAACUACGCAUCUAUCUAUGACUUUUAUGUAUAUCCAAGGGAACGUGCUGAGAAGUAAGAAGAAAAAACUAGAGAGGAAGGCUGACCACCGCAUAUGGGGCGACGCCGGGAGCCUCAAUUUGACUAAUAAUAACUACCGAACUGAAUUCAUACAUAAUAAACAACAAAAAAUUGCACCACUCAGGUUCGACUCCACAUCUAUGACGUUAUAUAUAUCAAAGGGAAUAAGCUUAGAAGUAAGAAGAAAUACUAGAGAGGAAGACUGACCCCGCACGGGCCAGGAUGUAAGGGCGUGAGCAAGUGAAGGGUCAUGAAAAUCAAGAGGAAGCACAAAAUUCUGAUAAGAGAGGAGGAGGGAGAAGAAAGCAGUUUUGCCAUUGCUUUUGAGUUCUUUCAAGCGCUUUCCUUUUUUUUUUUCCAUGUAUGUAUAUAUAAGCCCCACAAGAAUCAUUAGUCAUAACAUUAGAUGGACAACAACAACAUCGUACUUUAAUUACUUGGGACGCAGCACCCAUGACUCUGGCCCCUGGCUUUUGAACAGGUCAAUCAGUAAAUGCGUAAGAGACGUGCUUAAUGAGUGAAUCUCCCCAAGUCCUCUCACACCAAUUUCAUCCCGUUCAAACUCGGGAUAUGUCAAAAAAGUGAAACAUAAUUCAAAUCGCAACUAUUCAGAUAUAUGGAUCCGAGUAUGAAUAACAACCGAACUGAACAAAAAAGUGAAACAUAAUUCAAAUCGCAACUAUUCAGAUAUAUGGAUCCGAGUAUGAAUAACAACCGAACUGAACUCACAUAUACGUAAUACACAGCAUAAAUACAACUAAUGUUUGACUUCACACCUGUCGAUGACUUCUAUGUAUAUCCAAAGGAACGAGCUUAGGAGUAAGAAGAAAUAACUAGAGAGGAAGACUGACCCCUGCAUAUGGGGCGACUUUCUUCUCUCCCUGUAGCUCGUGCGAGCAAGUGAAGGGUCAUGAAAAUCAAGAGAAAGCACAACAUUCUGAUAAGAGAGGAGGAGGAGAAGGAGGAGGAGAAGGAGGGAGAAAGCAGUUUUGCCAUUGCUUUGAGUUAUUUCGAGCUCUUUCCUAUUUUUGCAUGUCUAUGUAUAUAUAAGCACUACAAGAAUCAUUACUCAUAACGUUGUGUGAACAACAACGUCGCACUUAAUUACUUGGGAUGCAACACCCGUGACUCUGGGUCUCUCUGGCUUUUGAACAAGUCAACAGCUAAAUGCGUCGGAGACGAGCUGAAAGAGUGAACCCCGCCAAGUGCUCUCACGUCAAUCUCAUCCCGUUCAACCUCGGGCCACGUUCACAAAGCACUCCCAAAACACUAUUAAUUUGAUCUUAUAUAACAAAAGAACGUCCUUUUUUUCUUCUUUUUUUCCAAAAUAUUGAUUAUAUAUAUCAUAGAAGAAAAGAAGAAGCCGAGAUCUAGGGAUAUUAAAAUAAAAAAAAUAAACCGUUCAAACUGAAAAUUUCGAGUUGGAUUUACUUACGUUUUGGGUAACAAGUAAAACAAUGGAUUUUUGAUGGUUCGGUUCGCUCAUAAAAUCAACUCUAAACACUUAAUUAAACGAAAGAGUGAUGGUGCAAUUUGCACCACGUAUUUUGCCGAGGACUUUGGAUGACUUGCUUGUCCGGUCCAUAGGAUAUCAAGAAAGAUCCCCCUCAGUGAAAAAGACAUUGGCUACUAGAGGUCGCCACAUCUGACUUUUGCUAUUACUCUGUACUACUUUGCUCUGCUCCCGCUACUCUAUUUCAAUUUCUUCUCUCAAUGGAAAUGAAAGAAAUAAAUGAACGAAGCAUAGAAAACAUAAAACAUAAAAUCUCAAGUUGGUCUCAACUUUAGAGUACCAAAUGAAACUAUUCUUACUGAUGAAGAAGAAGAAAUAAACUCCCCCCACCUUUUUUUAUUUAUUUCAAUCACGCCAAUGAACUCAGAAAAGAAAAAAAAAACACAGCUUCUUCCCUUCUUGAUCUCCUAACUCAGAAAUUGUAUUCAAAUAGACUUGUAUGAUCUCAUAAUUUACAUAAAGAAAGAUAAAUCAUAUGUAUUUCCCUUGGCUUGAAUAGCUCGACAAAAAAUUAGAAAAGGAUAGCAAAAAUGAAUGGAAGAAAAUGAACGCUAGCCAAUAAUUUCCUUGAGCUGAGAGAGAGAGAGAGAGAGAGAGAGAGAGAGAGAGAGAGAGAGAGAGAGAGAGAGAGAGAUAAACACAUAAUUAAUUGAAAGGGUGGCGGUGCAAUCUACACCACAUAUUUUGUCGAAGACCUUGGAUGACUUGCUUGUUUGGUCUAGUAGGAUAUCAAGAAGGACCCCUCAAUGAAAAAGAUAUUGGCUACUUGAGGCCGCCACUUCUGACUUUUGCAAUUACUCUACACUCCUUUGCUAUGCUCUCGCUACUCUCUUUCAAUUUCUUCUCUCAAUGGAAAUGAAAGAAAUAAAUGAACAAAGCACAUAAAACAUAAUAGCUCGACAAAAAAUCAGAAAAGAAUAGCAAAAAUUAAUGGAAGAAAACAAACGCUAGCCAGUAAUUUCCUCAAGCCGAGAGAGAGAGAGAGAGAGAGAGAGAGAGAGAGAGAGAGAGAGAGAGAGAGAGAGAAUUAUAUGAAAGAGUGACGGUGCAAUUUGCACCACAUAUUUUAUCGAAAACCCUGGAUGACUUGCUCGUCUGGUCCAGUAGGAUAUCAAGAAGGAUCCCUCUCGGUGAAAAAGACAUUGUCUACUUGAGACCACCACAUCUGACUUUUGCUAUUACUUUGCACUAAUCUGCUAUGCUCUGCUCUCGCUUCUCUCUUUCAAUUUCUUCUCUCGAUGGAAAUGAAAGAAAUAAAUGAACGAAUCACAGAAAACAUAAAACAAAAUAUCUCAAGUUGGUCAUAACUUCAGAGUGUCAAAUGAAACUAUUCUUAUUGACGAAGAAGAAGAAAUAAAUUCCCCCCACCCUUUUGAUUUCAAUUGCGCCAACGAACUCAGAAAAGACAAAAAAACACAACUUCUUCCCUUCUCAAUCUCCCAACUUUGAAAUUGUAUUCUAAUAGACUUGUAUGAUCUCAUAAUUUACAUAAAGAAAGAAAAAUCUAUGUAUUUUUCUUGGCUUGAGUAGCUUGACAAAAAAUCAGAAAAGAAUAGUAAAAAUUAAUGGAAGAAAACAAAUGCUAGCCAAGAAUAGUAAAAAUUAAUGGAAGAAAACAAAUGCUAGCCAAUAAUUUGCUUGAGCCGAGAGAGAGAGAGAGAGAGAGAGAGAGAGAGAGAGAGAGAGAGUCCUUGGGGAGGCAAUAACUUGUGCUCCAUGAUUCCAUGUUUGCUCUAUACCUUUAAGGUUUCGUUCGUUUCAAGAAAAAUAUAGCGUUUUUGCAAAAUGUUCUUUAGAAAGUCAUUUUAAAGUAAUCAUAUUUUCUGUUGUUCGGUUAAAACUUGAAAAAUGAACUGUAAAUUAUUUUUUGGUAUUCAGUAAGGAAAAUCUUUUCCUCCAUGCAUAUGGGCGACUCCAUGGGCCUCGUGCGAGCAGGUGACCUGAAACACAUAACUGAAUAUGCUUCGAAACCAAAAUAAUCGGAGUAAAAUGCUAAACACGUUGACGAACAUAGAAAAAGGAACCACAACUUUCUUGCCGGCUUGUCCAAUUUUCGACCCUCCAUCUGCGGUCGUCUCCAUUGUCGCCUUUGAUCCCGUCGUCUCCAUCGUGGCCUUCAAUCCCGUUGGAUAUGCCGGUGUCGUGGCCUCUACCGUCAUCCUCACCGCCUCUGUUGUAGCUGAUGUAAUAUGAGCGCGGAAUCUAACCGGAACUCAGGUCUCGCCGGCUUCUUCCUGUUCUUUGUGCGGGGGUGACAUACUUCACCGAAAGGAGAAUUCGAUCCGGGUAGGGAAUGAACGAGGCUAGCCAAAGUAUACUUUUAUGCCCGCAAUACAGUUUGGGGAGAUGGGAUAGUGACUCUUGCCGUGGCUAAGGAAUAACAUCCUAUCUGAUUUCAGGGGCAGCUAUAUUUGCUCAAAUAGAGUGUGAGAAGUGCAAUAAGAUGAGCCACUCUAACUCAAGUCAGCCAGCCAUGGCGUAAUUGCACGUGAGAAAGUGAUAUCUGUGAUUCGUGACUCCAUAUAUAAAUCGACCUCGGUCGAAUUGGCGUACUAUCGCACAUCUCUUAUGAAUGAUUUUCAUCGUCACAUAAAAAUUAUUCUUGAAGAAAAGACGUAAAAGAAAGAGCCCUCAUAUGGGAGGUGUAAUUUCUGCUCAUGUAGUCCUUUUAGUUUUUAACGUUAUGAGUAGGGGCUCCAGGAGAAUGACUGCCAUCAGCAGGUGUAUAGCCACUCGGAGCUGUAGGGCCACGAUGAAAACCUUCCUGUCCUUGUGCUGCAACAAUCCAUGCCACGGCGCAAGUCGAGAAACAGAGAGAGAACUUGCCGGAGUAGGGCAAGACCGGAACCCACGGAUCAGCAGAGCUUCGAGGGAGGGAGCCGAAGGUCAUGAUCAACAUGGAACAACAGAUGAGGGUGACGAUACGGGAAGAGGAGGAACGAGCCUUGCUCAUUGCCAUCCUUCAAGUUUUGACCUUGUUAUGGACUUCUGGGAUGCGAGAUGGUAAAGUACUAGUUGCAAUUUAUAAUGACAGAUGAGAUUGCCAAAUGAGAUUUAUUCCUUAUUUGAGUGGGGCACGAGUUUGACGAAGAAGCUAGGUGGGUUAAAUACCGACUCACUAUAUAGUGAAUUGAUUACAACAUUGACCCAUGCUCGUGCUGUUUUUUUUUUUGGCUCUCCUUUAAGAUGCCAUUUGUUUCAUGAAAAAUAAGUUAUUUGGAAAAUAUUUUUCUAAAAAUUAUCGCUUAUAUUGUUUACAAACAUAAAUAAACGAAGAAUAUUUUCAUUGUUUACGAAAAUAUCGAGACAUAAAUUGUUAUCGGUAAUAAAGUCAUUUUUCAUCGAUAUUAGUUGAAGGAUGAGAUUGCCAAAUGAGAUUUAUUCCUUAUUUGAGUGGGGCACGAGUUUGACGAAGAAACUAGGUGAGUUAGAUACCGACCCACUAUAUAGUGAAUUGAUUACGACAUUGACCCAUGCUCGUGCUGGUUUUUUUUUUACUGUUUAGCAUUCUUUUUCGGCUCUCUUUUAAGAUGCCAUUUGUUUCAUGAAAAAUAAGUUAUUUGGAAAAUAUUUUUCUAAAAAUUAUCGCUUAUAUUGUUUACAAACAUAAAUAAACGAAGAAUACUUUCAUUGUUUAUGAAAAUAUCAAGACAUAAAUUGUUAUCGGUAAUAAAGUCAUUUUUCAUAGAUUAAUAUUAUCAGUUGAAUCAAAUCCAUGUACUCUAGCUAGAAUUGAUCUUGGCAUCCACUGCAUACUAGAAGGUAAACAUAAUUCAAUUAAGGUAAUCCUGAUGAAUUGAAUGAUGUGGUCUCCUCUCUCUCUCUCUCUCUCUCUUUUUUUAGACACUUGCGCUUCGAUUUCAAUUCCAAUUUUAAUAGUUUGUAAUUAUAAUAUAAGUCGAUCAUGAGAGUAAAAUAAAAGAAAGUAUAAUAACUUAUAUAAUCUAUCGAGAUCUCAUAAAUAAUCAAACACAUAAAAAUGAUAGCUGAUUAAAGACUAUUCUCUCCGUAUCCUCAACACCAUUCCUCUAACUUCCACUUCUCCUCAGAAAUAUGAUAUAAUACCAAUUUUCAAAACUCUAUCUCCAUAAUUAAAAUCCCAAUAGUCAUCCAAUAACUUCUUUCUAUCCAUUAACAGAAAAAGAUGAGAUUUGUAUAAUGCUUAAUCCAUCUGCCGUCGUCUCCACGUCGCCUUUGAUCUCGUCGAAUAUGCCGUCGUCUCCAUCGUUGCCUUCAAUCCCGUUGGAUUUGCCGGUGUCGUGGCCUCUACCGUCAUCCUCACUGCCUCUGUUGUAGCUGAUGUAAUAUGAACGCGGAAGCUAACCGGCACGCACGUCUCGCCGGCUUCUUCUUGUUCUUCGUGCGGGGGCUCCUAAAGGAGAGCUGCUGUGGGGUUGGUUAGCCGCGCGUGUGAAGAAAAAGAAAGCCAUCAGAGAAAAAUAAAAUUUAUUUCAAGACCACUUCUCACCGCCGCAAUUAAAUUCAGAUUGGUUUAUUUCAAUGAAAUCUUCAUGAUAGAGAAAAUUAUUUUCUUGAAAAUUAUUUUGAAGAAAAAUGGUUAGUUUCUAUUAUUUGAUGGUAUAUAGAAAGUAAUUUCCUUCUUGCCAAAAUGGGAAGUUGUUUUCGCCCAUAUCGAACUGACUGUCGAGCAAAGGAGGGAAUAUUCUCGGCGAACGGUGACAUACUUCACCAAAAGGAGAAUUCGAUCUGGGUAGGGAAUGAACGGGGCUAGCCAAAGUAUAUUUUUUAUGCCCGCAAUACAGUUUGAGGAGAUGGGAUAGUGACUCUCGCCAUGGCUAAGGAAUAACAUCCUCUUUGAUUUCGGGGACAUAGCUAUAUUUGCUCAAAUAGAGUGUGAGAAGUGCAAUAAGAUGAGCCACUCUAACUCAAGCCAACCAGCCAUGGCAUAAUUGCACGUAAGAAAGCAAUAUUUAUGAUUAACGACUACGUAUAUAAAUUGACCUCGGUCGAAUUGGCAUGCUACAACACGUUUCUUAUGAAUGAUUUUCAUCGUCAUGUAAAAAUUAUUCUUGAAGAAAAGACGUAAAAGAAAGAGCCCUCAUAUGGGAGGUGUGACAUUCUGAUUUUCAACCUUGUUUUCAACUAAAUGAAAUGGGUUUUUUAUCGACGCGCCUAUAGUCUUUUUCUCUGAGUUGAUCACUUACGAGAUAACUAAUCCAUCGGGUGAAGCUGUUAAGGAAUAUAAACGCGACUAAUUUGAGAAUUCGAUCAGAAAUCGAUUGCUCAACCGUGCUAAUCUGCAAGGGUCAAUACGGCACCGAUAAAAUCGAUUAGAGAUCGGUGAUAGGUCGAUUCAACAUAGGCAUGUGAUUAAAGUGUGGGUGAUUCUACCUGAUUUCAAAAUGUUUGUAGAACGGUACUAAACCAAUUUUUCUGUCGUUUCUGUACCCUGUGCCCGUAAUUGAAACCUUGAGAUUUUCACGACAAUUGAGAGUUGCCUAUGGGUUAAAGAUGCACAAUGUGGAUCGAAAAUAAUUGACCAUGGAUCAAAUGCACUAAAAAUUCAUAAAAGCUACUCCGUAGGUUAGGUCACGCUAAAAUCGCGUCCGGUUGAAAUUAACCAUGAAAUUGAACCCGGUUUCAGGAAUCGAAAGUUCUGGUAUGUCAUGAUUUAUUUUAGGAAUAUCAACUCAUCUUUUGAAGAAUUUUCGGCAAGCCCGGAUUUUCGGUGAAAAAUCAAAAUUGGACGAUUUUGGACCAAGAAAUUCGGAGGGCCAUGUUUGGGUGCAAUUUUGGCCUCCAAGUUGGAUCAAAUGGUGAUGGGAAUGCAAGAAUUUGGUGUGGGCUCCUACCUUGGCAUUGUAGCCAUUUAAUUGAAGUCAAUUGGAAUGAAAUUGAAUUGAAUUGAAGGUGAAAUGGUUGAAAUUCGUAGGCCAUGGGGGGCUGCAACAUUUCGGCAUCAUCCUUGGCUUCUUGGAGAAGAUUGGGAGGGGAAAUGGCUGCUGGGUUGCGGCUGAAGGUUGGUGGGGGCUACACUCAAGUGUUUGUGAUAUUUUGGCUUGACUUAGUGACUUCUUGUCCCCCUCAAGCCAGCAGCAGACUAUCUUCUUCUUCCUCAGCUUCUUCUUCCAUUUCUCUAGCUGCAAAUCUCCAUUUCCAGAGCAAGAAAACUAGCCAAGCCAGUUGCCCAAGCCAGCUGCUCGCCUGCCAGCCCACCGUGUCGCCACAUGCUUGCCGAUCACCGCAAGCCAACUCCCUCGUGUCCGUGUUUCCAGCCCACGUUGCGCAUCGCUCGUGCUUAGUUCGCGCCCUUAGCCACUCGUCGCCGUCCACCUGCCGCCCGCCGUCGUCGCAGCUUCACCCGAUCAGGUUGCCGUCUACCAUCGCUGCUUCCGCUUGCCUGCCUGGCCCCGCCGUGCCGUUCCUACGCCAUCCUUACCCCUCGAUCCAGCUCCUUCAGCUAGCGUCCAAAACUGAAAGUCUAGCUCUAGCAGUGAGUUGUUAGACCAUUUUCAGCUCGGUCCAAGCCUCAUUGCGCGUCGCCAUAGGCCCGGCCCGAGUCUCGCUCGCCUCAGCGUUGUCGUUGCCGUGAACUCAUCGGCUCGCUAAUCUGGUGAGUUUACUUGCUAAAGGAGGUUAAUUAUGCUUAUGAGAGGUUUAGAUUAGUCUAAGUGAGAUUAGUGUAUUUAUUUAGCUUGGUUAGUUAAUUAGAUUAAUUAGAUAGGUUAAUUAGGUGGUUAGUUAGUUCAAUUAAGUAGUUUAAUUAGAUUAGAUGUAGCUAGGUUGGUUACAUUGAUUUAAUUAGUUCAAUUAGGUGGUUAGAUUAGCUUAGGUAGAUUAAUUAGUGGUUUUAUUUAAUUAUUUUGUAACUUAUUUAAUUAUUUAUUUAUUUUCAAAAAUUACAUUGGGAUAGCUUGUUGUCAGAAUUUUGUGCUGAUUGUCGUUGUAUGAUUAGUUUGUGCAAUUGAUUGUUAAAUUGUGCAAUUGAAUGAUGAUUGUUGAUUUUGAGUUAUUAUUCCAAAAUUAUGGAUUUUUGGUAUUAAUUAGAAAAAUACCGGGUGUGGUUUUUGACGCCAAAAAUGUUUUUAAAUACUAUAUCAAAUCGUGGGAUUUUUAAAUGGGAGAAUAUUACUUUUUAUGGUUAAAUCUGACCGUGUGCCCACACACUAUUAUUUUACCAGGUGUUUUUAAUUUGAAGAAAAUAGGCCAAGUACAUUAUUUAAAUUGAGAUAUUUGAGUACAAAGUACGAUAUCCUUGAUUGGGAUUGGAUAUGCAUGGAAUCGUUAUUGGAACCCGUCACGAGCUUUUAUGCUGGACAAUGCUCCUUCGGGAAUGUCCCACGUCAACGGAUGCUGGUCGCAAUGGAGACUGGGUCGAUGCUCCUUUGGGAAUGCCGUAUAGAUAUAGACGUUGCCAUGCUCGAUGGUGCGAGACAAUGCCCGGCUAUGCCAGAAGACCGCUGACUAUUGAGUCGGCCGUGGCCAUUGGAUCGUAACUACUUGGAACGCUUGAAUGAGUGAUUUGACCGCGCCUGAUUAUGGGACAAAAUUGUAUGGCAUGGAAUGGGACGUGUCAUAAUGAUUUGGCCUUAUAAUCGGGACCCAUGUAUUUGAUUGAUUUGAAAGUGAGGCGUUCCAAUUAUUGAGUGCAUUUACUGCAUAUAUCUGUUAUAUGAGCUUUACUAACGUGUUGGAAGGUGCAGAGGCGAGGUAAGUCUCAUAUGAUAUGUAAUUAGGCUGCCUCUAGGCGUAUUAACUUCCUAAUUGGGGUUUAGGGCGUGAACUCGCUGAGACAUUGUCUCACCUCGUCGUGGUUUACAAUUUUUACAGGUCCCUAGAUGGAAGUUCGUCCGGUUCGUUUUGGGCAGCCGCAGGAGUAUAGCGAGUAAAAUACCGUCUUCCUUGUCCUUGGGAAUCCUUGGACUCGUGAGCUCGUCGUGACCACGAUAUUGGUUGAUGAGGGCCUACUUCAGUUGGUAUCUCAUCGAUUUAAGGCGUGAUUUCGUCACGGGUCUAACGGGGAACGGGAAGGUCCUGUGGAUGGUUUCGACGGACCCGCCAUCGAGGGUGAGGGUGAGGAGGUACUCGACCCUAUCGUGCACGCCGAUAUUAUUGCAAAUAUCGAGGUGAACCAAUUGCCUGAGGAUGAGCAGGAGCCCGAAGUUGAGGAAGUAGCUGACCCGCUAGACAUCGACAUUCCUGACGGUGUCGUAGUGGACCCAGAUCCCAAGUAGGAGGGUUCGGGGUAGGGUUAGCUAGGUAGUCCUUUUUGGGGCCUUGACUUUUGUAUAUAAUUUUGCAGGCUGACCUGGAUGCUUAUAAAAGUGUGGUUUGUUUUAUAUGGUUGUCAUGCUUUUCUAUCCCAUGUUGAUUGUUGUUUGGGGAUUGUUUAUUUGCUUCCGCAUGUGCAUGAAUCGUUUGGGACAGCGACUUGUCCUGAGAACGUCGCAAUUUGAUCGACUAUCGAGGGAUGUGCGCGCGCUCGAGAUUCAAGGCGUGAUAGGAGGUGUAAUUUCUGCUUAUAUAGUCUUUUUAAUUUUUAACAUUAUGAGUAGGGGGCUCGAGGAGAAUGACUGCCAUCCAUAGGUAUAUAGCCACUCGCAUGUGUAUCACCACGAUGAAAAUCUUUCUGUCCUUGUGCUGCAACAAUCCAUGCCUCGGCGCAAGUCGAGAAACAGGGAGAGAACUUGCUGGAGUAGGGCAAGAUCGGAACCCAUGGAACGGCCAGUGAAAGAAAAGAUAAUAAAAAGGAAAAAGAAAAAUUUGCAAAAUUAUGGAAAAAAUUGUAAAAAUUACUCACGUCAGCGCAACCGUUAGCGCUGGCCACUUCACAUAAGUGGUCAAUAGUUGGAUUUCUAGCUGGCCACUUCACAUAAAUGGUCAGUAGUUGGAUCUCUAUAUUAAUGAUUUCUAACCGAAAUUAGAUGAAAAGAUUAUACUGAAAAAUCGUUAAAAGAUUUAUGAUUAAACUUUUUUGAUCUUCCCAUGAACUCAGCACACACGACGAUACGUUGAUGGGGAAGAUCAAACAAGUUUAUUAUUUUAUUGAAAUUCAAGCAAACUCAAACAUAACCAUCAAAGAUGGUUGCGGAGUACUAGGACCAUUAUAUUUAUGCUUUAUCUUUUUGUUUUCUUUUUCUUUGAUCCUCGUGUAAUGGGCAAUAUGCAUGUAUGAAAUCCGUAUUGCGAUCGUGAAAAAUUAAAAUUUUAGAUAAGAUGACACAUGUCACGAGAUUAGUAAUGUGUCAUCAGAUUAGUAAUCUUUAAAUGUUGGUUCCAUCCAUCUGUAGUAAACUAAAAGAAUAUCCUUAAUAUAUAUUUCAAAGUAAAUUAAUGGAGCGAAGACCACAUAAUUGAGAUCGAGAAAUAAGACUAUCAACUCAUUAAAGGAUUCAAGAGAAUCUGUUUUAGAACUUCAAAGCAGAAAAUCCAUGCGUAGAAUUCCCGCAUUACUCGCUAAUUCCUAGCAUUGAAAUACUCUUGCGUAAUCUAACUUGCACAGAGGCUUUCAAAUACAUAGAAAAUCCAUGCAUAAAUUCUUAAUUCUUACAUUACAGGGUACUUGCUAGAAUCGAAAUAUUCCCCGUAAUUUUAACUUAGACAGAGGCUUUCAAAUACAUUAAAUAGAAAAAGCAGGAAAGUGCUUUGCAAAGUAGAUGGUCCGCCAUCAUCUGUCUCUGAUCAUUGCGAAGACCAUUCGUUCUUUAUCAAGUGGCUGUGAGCUUCAAUCAUUCAAGUCAGUGACGUUCUGCGAUAAACAUUACGAUAAAGAAAAGAUAUUUAGAUUAGCAUUUUUAAAAAUUCACAGCACACUAAUACACAUUAGAAACAUUUAGGUAUUCUUGUAGCGUAAUUUUUAUUAAUCUAGCCAAGCCAAUCAUCAUAUAUGCCUCAUGUUAUGAAUUUCCUUAUGUUGAAAAGAUGACACCUUCUCAUGUGGCACUUGGGUGGCAGAUGAGAAUAUUGUCUUUUGAGAGCACCUACAAAUAUAUCUUGAUAUACUCGUUUUAAAGAAAGAAAGUACUCACUCGGAUGAGGGCCAGGGCCUCCGGGGUUCCCUCCCGCUCCACCUACAACAACCAUCAUUCACUUAAUUUUACUUAGACUCAUCCACAAACUCGUUAUGCUACCAAAAAUACCAGUUGCCAAAUCGCCUUUUAUGAUUCAGUAUUUCGAAAGAGUGAAACAUACCUCAAAUGACAACAAUUCAGAUAUCUCAAUUCCAUCAAGAACAAACUACCGAGCUAAACUCACGUAUACAUUACUCACCACAUAAAUGAUAUAUAUAAAUAUAUAUACCAAAAAAAAAAAAAAAGCUUAGAAGUUAGAAGAAAUAACUAGAGAGGAAGACUGACCCAGCGCGGGAGACGGGGCCAUGAUAAUGAAAAUCAAGAGGAAGCACAAAAUUUUGAUAAGAGAGGAGGAGGAGGAGGAGGAGGGAGGAGAAAGCGGUUUUGCCAUUGCUUUGAGUUAUUUCAAGCGCCUUCCUAUUUUUUCAUGUCUAUCUAUAUAUAAGCACCACAAGAUCAUUAGUCAUAACAUUGUAUGAACACCACCAACAAUCAUUGUUCUCAAUUACUUGUGACGCAACACCCGUGACUCUGGCCUCUGGCUUUUGAACGGUUCAACCCCGGAAUGCGAGAGAGACUGGCUUAAUGAGUGAAUCCCCCCAAGUCCUCUCACAUCAAUGUCGUCCCGUUCAAACUCGUGCGCCACCCUUUUUCGACCAAAAGUAAAAACUCGGGCCCCUUUCUCCAACUACUUCCAAGAUAUUGAUUACACGUAUCACAAAAAAAGUCAGAGAUCUAUUGUACGGGCUGGCUCCGUUUCUUAAGAUAUCCAAGCCUAAUAUUUGGAUAAGCUCUCCUGUUCACCUUGACUAGGGCCUCACUCGUUCAUUAAGUUCGUUCAUGCGAAAUCAUGACUGCUUCCAUUUUCUUCCCACUUGCCUUUCUCUUUUGUUAAAUUCCAAACAUCUAAGGCUUCGCGCGUGGUCAAUUUGGUGAGGAAGAUUAGCACUGAUUUGCGCAAUUAGUGUUAAUUUAUAGAAGGAACUAUAGUAAGCACGUUAGUGGCUGGCCAUGUGUUUCAGCGCGCAGCUGAAUAUGGUUAAGACCUAUAAAUGCAAAAACGUGUAUCCAGCAAAAACCUAGUGCUUUGCCAAUUAGUCCUUGUUGCUUUCAAGCCACUCAAGUUUAUAGGUUUUAUGAAAGUCAAUUUUCCAUCUCCCACUAGAAGAGAAAACUACCAUAUAUAUUUUUCAUUUUUUUCAUGAAAAAAAAGAAGGAAUUUCAUCCAAUUUUUGAAAAUGUGAUUGGAAUUCAUCCUCCAUUUCCUGUAUAAAAUAAGUUUAAUGAAUAUCAUUUGAUGAGAUCUAAUGGAAGAAUGUGUAAAAUCUUCAUUUAUUGGAAUGACUUAUCAAUUAGAUCCCGUGUUCAAAUCAGUUGCUCGUCAUUCAUACUUGUAUCUCAACCAAUACCGAAUCACCGAUGCUAUCGAAUUUUCCUUUUUCAAUGCUACUAAAGAUUUGAAGUUCAUUUGGUCGAUAGUGCAUAUAAAUUUUAUUUUACUCUUAGAUAUUUCUCCUUUCCUUUUUUUUUUUCAUUUUUUUUUCACUAGUGAUUUAGGAACUUACCAACUAAUAGAGAAACAGAUACAAAGCUGAAAAUUCACAAGUGUGCAUGCUAAGUCAAAUUCUAAUUUCAACAAGAAAUUAUGACAUUUUACCUUUUAUUUCUGAAUAUUGUUGAAACCUAUCUUUGCUAAAAAAAUUUAAGCUUAUGAGUGAUAAGUUAACAAUGAUAUAUUAAUUUUUGGAAAUAUGACAGUUAAGAUGAAGAGGUUAGUGUUGGUAGUUGUUUGUAAAACAAACUAAGAAGUUCUUGGUCUCAUACUGAAAAGAUAUGAGUGAUGGCUACAAAUUAAGAGGUUACUUCUUCCAUAUCGAUAAGGUAUGAGUGACAGUUAUUUUUUCCAAUGAUUAUUUUUGUAUUUAUCAUUAUCAUUAUUAUUAUUAUUAUUAUUAUUAUUAUUAUUAUUAUUAUUAUUAUUAUUAUUAUUAUUAUUAUUAUUAUUAUUAUUAUUAUUAUUAUUAUUAUUAUUAUUAUUAUUAUUAUUAUUAUUAUUAUUAUUAUUAUUAUUAUUAUUAUUAUUAACUUUGCCUAAUAGUUAUUAGGUGCUCUUACAACCUUUGGAAGGUUCUUUUCAUUCAGACAUAACUUCUUAACCUUUGAAGGGUUGUAUCCAUUCAAACAUAUUUAUUCCCUAAUAUGUAUUCAACAUUUUUGUUUACUAUUUUUCACUCUUCCAUUUUUCGUUUCUCUCAAAAAAAAGAUAUACGGCCUUCUUUUCAAUUGUUUCCCUUUUAAAAGUUCUUGGAAAAAUACUAUAAUUGCUAUAUGGUAUUCUUGCUUGAGAAUUUAUUGUAUCUUGAAGGAUUUUUUCCAGUAACCAUUAGCAAUAUCGUAGAGCAAAUAAUUCUUUAAAGAUAGUGUAUUCAUUCCUCAAAAUCAUAUUCUAUUCUUCUCGAUCAAUUUUUUCCCAACAAUUUUAAGGAAUUAUGUAUGCGACAAUGGAGUUAAAAUCAAUCAAAGUUAUCAAUCAAUACAUGGUGAGAUUGGACUAGUUUGAUGGAGACGAAUUUGCUCGUUGGAGGGACCAGAUGAUGUUUCUUCUCACUAUUUUGAAGAUUUCCUACAUACUGAUCCCAAUUUGACGCCUAUAGGACAUCCGAAAGGAGGACGGCUAAGCGUAGAAGACACUAAAAGGGCCAACAAAGAAUAGAAAAAACGUGAAUAUGAUGAAUUGCAUUGUCGUGGGCACAUUCCGAACACACCAUAUGAUCGUCUAUAAGACUUAUUCACUAAGAUGAAGUCUCUGGAGACAUAGGGAAUGUACUUCAAUUCAAAAACUAAGCGGAGGAGCAAGGUACCAAUAAUUAUUCGAUUGUAAAGCAUUUUGAUUUUAAAUUUAUCGAUACAAAACCCUUGUUGGAGUAAUUCCAUGAAUUGUAUGUGCUUGUCAACAAAAUUCGUUCCCUCAAGAUUGACAUUCCAGAAUUCUUUCAAGUAGGAGUGAUUAUUGCAAAAUCGUCUCCAAAUUGACAAGAUUAUGGAAAAAGGUUGCCGGAUCUAGGCGAGGCUCGAUCUCGUUAUCGCUGAGUGUUAUACCAAAAGAUUUGUGUAUCACUGGGUGGGUUAUGGACCAAAAGCAUUCACAUGAAAUUUAUGGUUCACUUGCCUGCCGCCUGGAAAUCAGGCUCUCAAGCUACUCCACCGCCAAUCAUGGAGGAUGUGAACUAUCGCUAUUGAAUCAACUUGUGCACAUUCAGAUGUUGAUGUGUUACUUCAAUUUGGCACCCCGCCCACACCCUUGAACUAAGCGUGCGCGAUAUGAUAAUGCGGAAGACCAAAAGCUCUUCUUGUAUAAUUGGAAUUCAACCAAUCUCACUCACAACCCACGCAAAGAGAGUUUUGAGGACUAUUAAGACCAUUGUAUUUCCAUGGGUUCUUUGUUCUUUGAUCCACGUCUAGUGGACAAUUCUAACGCAUAAUACACAUAUUUCUGUGGUGAAAAAUCACAAAUUUCGAAUAAGAUGGCCCAUGUCGUAAGAAUAGUAAUGUUUAAACACGGGUUCCAUCAGUCCAUACUAAACCAAAGGACAUCCUUAAUAUAAUUUCCAAGUGAAUCAAUGGAGUGAAAGCCACGUGCUUGAGAUCGAGAAAUAAGCAUAUCAACUCAUCAAAGAUUCAAAAGAAUCUGUUCUAGAACUUCAAAGCUGAAAAAUCCGCGAAUAGACCAAUGUAGAGAUCUUUAUAUUCUUGCAGUUACACGCUACUUCCAAGCAUCAAAAUGUCCUCCAUAAUCUUAAUUUAGACCGAGGCUUUCUUAUACAUUGAUGGAUAACUAAAUAUAAAGGGGUUUGCAAUUCAUAUGAUCCGCUAUUAUGCGUCUCUAAGCCUUGAGGACAUUUUAUUCUUUAUAAAUUGGCUGUGAGCUUCCAUCGUCAUUCAAGUUACGGACGUCCUAUAAUAAACAUCAUGUUAAAGCAAAUAUGUUUAUGUUAGCAUUUUUAGAAAUUCAUCGUACAUUAAUACACACUAGAAACAUUUAGGUACUUUCAUAGCGUAAUUUUAAUCCAUUUAAGUUAAUCACCACAUAUGCCUAACGUUAUGAAUUUCCUCAUUUUGAUAUAACUUCUGAUGUGGUUAUUGAUUUGAAGGGACAAGAAUGUCAUCUUCCGAGAGUAACCAUAAAUAUCUCUUGACAUACUCUUUGUGAAAGGAAGGAAGUACUUGCUACAUCCCUGGCUCUUGUUUAGGUCAUGUGGUUUGCUAUCAUUUUUUUUUUUUUUUUGUCACGGUUUCACUAGCACUUGCAUCAUCCAUAAUUUGCUAAAUUUUACUUAAAUCCAUUCACAAACUCGUCAAUGCUAUUAAAGUGCCAAUUACCAAAUCAGCCUUUGGGAUUUGAUAUUUCGAAAAAGUGAAACAUAAUUCAAAUCGCAAUGAUUUAGAUAUUUGAACAACUACCGAAUUGAACUCACAUACACAAGAUACACAAGAUAAAUCAUAUAACUAAUGUUCGACUACACAUCUAUCUAUGACUUGUAUGUAUUUCCAAGGCAACGAGCCUAGGAGCAAGAAGAAAUAACUAGAGAGGAAGAUUGACCACCGCAUUGGGGGCUACUCAACUCGUGCGAGCAGGUGAAGGGUCAUGAAAAUCAAGAGAAAGCAUAACAUUCUGAUAAGAGAGGAGUAGGAGGAGGGAGAAAGCAGUUUUGCCAUUGCUUUGAGUUAUUUCGAGCGCUUUCCUAUUUUUGCAUGUCUAUGUAUAUAUAACCACCGCAAGAAUCAUUAGUCCGUAUGAACAACAACGUCGUAUUGAAUUACUUGGGACGCAACGCCUGUGACUCUGGGCCUCUCUGGCCUUUGAAUAGGUCAACAGCUAAAUACGUCAAAGACGGGCUGAAAGAGUUAACCCCGCCAAGUGCUCUCGCGUCAAUCUCAUCCCGUUUAACCUCGGGCCACGUUCACAAAGCACUCCCAAAACACUAUUAGUUUGAUCUUAUAUAACAAAAGAACAUCCUUUUUUUUUCUUUUUUUUUUCCCAAAAUAUUGAUUAUAUAUAUCAUAGAAGAAAAAAAAGAAGAAGCCGAGAUCUAGUGAUAUUAAAAAUAAAAAAUUGAACCGUUCAAACUGAAAAUUUCAAGUCGGAUUUCCUUACGUUUCAAGUAAUAAGUAAAAUAAUGGAUUUCUCACCGUUCGGUUUGGUCACAAAGUCAACCCGAAACACCAAAUUAAAUGAAAGAAUGAUGGUGCAAUCUGCACCACGUAUUUUGCCAAGGACUUUGGAUGACUUGCUUGUCUAGUCCAGUAGGAUAUCAAGAAGGAUCCCUCUCAGUGAAAAAGACAUUGGCUACUAGAGGCCGUCACAUCUGACUUUUGCUAUUACUAUGUAUUACUCUCCUUUGCUCCCGCUGCUCUAUUUCAAUUUCUUCUCUCAAUGGAAAUGAAAGAAAUAAAUGAACAAAGCAUAGAAAACAUAAAACAAAAAAUCUCAGGUUGGUCGCAAUUUUAGAGUGUCAAAUAAAACUAUUCUUAUUGAUGAAGAAGAAGAAAUAAACUCCCUUCACCUUUUUGAUUUCAAUCACACCAACGAACUUAGAAAAGACAAAAAAAAAUUCUUCCCUUCUCAAUCUCCAAACUUUGAAAUUGUGUUCUAAUAGACUUGUAUGAUCUCAAAAUUUACAUAAAGAAAAAAAAAUCAUAUGUAUUUCCCCAGGCUUGAAUAGCUCUACAAAAAAUUAGAAAAGAAUAGCAAAAAAUAAUGGAAGAAAACGAACGCUAGCCAAUAAUUUCCUCGAGUCCAGAGAGAGAGAGAGAGAGAGAGAGAGAGAGAGAGAGAGAGAGAGAAUUAAACGAGAGAGUGAUUGUGCAAUCUGCACCACAUAUUUUGUCGAAAACCUUGGAUGACUUGCUUGUUUGGUCCAGUGGGAUAUCAAGAAAAAUCCCCAUCGGUGAAAAAGACAUUGGCUAAUUGAGGCCGUCAUGUUUGACUUUUACUAUUACUUUGCAUUACUCUACUUUGCUCCCGCUGCUCUCUUUCAAUUUCUUCUCUUAAUGGAAAAUGAAAGAAAUAAAUGAACCAAGCACAGAAAACAUAAAACAAAAAAUUCAAGUUGGUCGCCACUUAAGAGUGCCAAAUGAAACUAUUCUUAUUGACGAAUAAGAAGAAAUAAACUCCCCUCACCUUUUUUUUUUUUUUUAUUUCAAUCACGCCAACAAACUCAAAAAAGACAAAAAAAACACAGCUUCUUCCCUUCUCAAUCUCUCAACUUAGAAAUUGUAUUCUAAGUCUAUAAACUUGUAUAAUCUCAGAUACAUAAACAAAGAAAAAUCAUAUGUAUUUCCCCUAGCUUGAAUAGCUCGACAAAAAAUCAGAAAAUAACAGCAAAAAUUAAUGGAAUAAAAUGAACGCUAGCCAAUAAUUUCCUCGAGCCGAGACUAAGAGAGAGAGAAUUAAAUGAAAGAGUGAUGGUGCAAUCUGCACCACAUAUUUUGCUGAAGACCUUGGAUGACUUGCUUGUUUGGUCCAAUAUGAUAUCAAGAAGGAUCCCCCUCAGUGAAAAAGACAUAGGCUACUUGAGGCCGCUACGUCCGACUUUUGCUAUUACUUUGCAUUGCUCUACUCUGCUCCCAUUACUCUAUUGCCGGCUUGUCCAAUUUUCAACCCUCCAUCUGCCGUUGUCUCCAUCGUCGCCUUUGAUCCCAUCGAAGAUGCCGUCGUCUCCGUCGUUGCCUUCAAUCCCGUUGGAUUUGCCAGUGUCAUGGCCUCUACCGUCAUCUUCACUAGUGAUUUAGGAACUUACCAAGUAAUAGAGAGAAACAGAUACAAAGCUGAAAAUUCACAAGUGUGCAUGCUAAGUCAAAUUCUUAUUUCAACAAUAAAUUAUGACAUUUUACCUUUUAUUUCUGAAUAUUGUUUUUUUUUGGUAAAGUUAUUUCUGAAUAUUGUUGAAACCUAUCUUCACUAAAAAAUUUAAGCUCAUGAGUGAUAAGUCAACAAUGAUAUAUUAAUUUUUGGAAAUAUGACAGUUAAGAUGAAGAGGUUAGUGUUGGUAGUUGUUUGUAAAACAAACUAAGAAGUUCUUGGUCUCAUACUGAAAAGAUAUGAGUGAUGGCUACUAAUUAAGAGAUUACUUGUUCCAUAUCGAUAAGGUAUGAGUGACAGUUAUUGUUUCCAAUGAUUAUUUAUUUAUUUAUUUAUUUAUUAUUAUCAUCAUCAUCAUUAUUUACUUUGCCUAAUAGUUAUUAGUUGCUCUUACAACAUUUGGAAGGUUCUUUUCAUUCGGACAUAACUUCUUAACCUUUGAAAGGUUGUAUCCAUUCAAACCUAUUUAUUCCCUAAUAUGUAUUCAACAUUUUUGUUUAUUAUUUUCCACUCUUCCAUUUUUCGUUUCUCUAAAAAAAAAAGAUAUACGGCCUUCUUUUCAAUUGUUUCCCUUUUAAAAAUUUCUUGGAAAAAUACUAUAAUUACUAUAUGGUAUUCUUGCUGGAGAAUUUAUUGUAUCUUGAAGAAUUUUUUCCAAUAACCAUUAGCAAUAUCGUGGAGCAAAUAAUUCUUUAAAGAUAGUGUAUUCAUUCCUCAAAAUCAUAUUCUAUUCUUCUCGAUCAAAUUUUUCCCAACAAUUUUAAGGAAUUAUGUAUGCAACGAUGGAGUUAAAAUCAAAGUUAUCAAUCAAUACAUGGUGAGAUUGGACUAGUUUGAUGGGGACGAAUUUGCUCAUUGGAGGGACAAGAUGAUGUUUCUUCUCACUAUUUUGAAGAUUUCCUACAUACUGAAUCCCAAUUUGACGCCUAUAGGACAUCCGAAAGGAGGAUGGCUAAGCGUAGAAGACAAUAAAAGGGCCAACAAAGAAUAGAAAAAACAUGAAUAUGAUGAAUUGCAUUGUCAUGGGCACAUUCCGAACACACCAUUUGAUCGUCUAUAAGACUUAUUCACUAAGAUGAAGUCUCUAGAGACAUAGGGAAUGUACUUGAAUUCAAAAACUAAGCGGAGGAGCAAGGUACCGAUAAUUAUUCGAUUGUAAAGCAUUUUGAUUUUAAAUUUAUUGAUACAAAACCCUUGUUGGAGUAAUUCCAUGAAUUGUAUGUGCUUGUCAACAAAAUUCGUUCUCUCAAGAUUGACAUUCCAGAAUGCUUUCAAGUAGGAGUGAUUAUUGCAAAAUCGUCUCCAAAUUGACAAGAUUAUGGAAAAAGGUUGCCGGAUCUAGGCGAGGCUCGAUCUCGUUAUCGCUGAGCGUUAUACCAAAAGAUUUGUGUAUCACUGGGUGGGUUAUGGACCAAAAGCAUUCACAUGAAAUUUAUGGUUCACUUGCCUGCCGCCUGGAAAUCAGGAUCUCAAGCUACUCCACCGCCAAUCAUGGAGGAUGUGAACUGUCGCUAUUGAAUCAACUUGUGCACAUUCAGAUGUUGAUGUGUUACUUCAAUUUGGCACCCCGCCCACACCCUUGAACUAAGCGUUGAACUAGGCAUGCGCAAUAUGAUAAUGCGGAAGACCAAAAGCUCUUCAACCAAUCUCACUCACAACCCACGCAAAGAGGGUUUUGAGGACUAUUAAGACCAUUGUAUUUCUAUGGGUUCUUUGUUCUUUGAUCCACGUCUAGUGGACAAUUCUAACGCAUAAUACACAUAUUUCUGUUGUGAAAAAUCACAAAUUUCGAAUGAGAUGGCCCAUGUCGUAAGAAUAGUAAUGUUUAAACACGGGUUCCAUGAAACUAAUCGUACGAUUAUUACAUCCUUAAUAUAAUUUCCAAGUGAAUCAAUGGAGUGAAAGCCACGUACUUGAGAUCGAGAAAUAAGCAUGUCAACUCAUCAAAGGAUUCAAAAGAAUCUGUUCUAGAACUUCAAAGCAGAAAAAUCCGCGAAUAGAUUAAUGCAGAGAUCUUUAUAUUCUUGCAGUUGCACGCUACUUCCAAGCAUCGAAAUGUUCUCCAUAAUCUUAAUUUAGACCGAGGCUUUCUUAUACAUUGAUGGAUAACUAGAGAUAAAGAGGUUUGCGAUUCAUAUGAUCCGCUAUUAUGCGUCUCUAAGCCUUGCCAGGACAUUUUAUUCUUUAUAACUUGGCUGUGAGCUUCCAUCGUCAUUCAAGUCAAGGACGUCCUGCAACAAACAUCAUGUUAAAGAAAAUAUGUUUAUAUUACCAUUUUUAGAAAUUCAUCCUACAUUAAUACACAAAAGAAACAUUUAGGUACACUCAUAGCGUAAUUUUUAUCCAUCUAAGUCAAUCGCCACAUAUGCCUAAUGUUAUGAAUUUCCUCAUUUUGAUAUAACUUCUCAUGUGAUUAUUGAUUUGAGAGGACACGAAUGUCAUCUUUCGAGAGCAACUAUAAAUAUCUCGACAUACUCGUUUUGAAGGAAGAAAGUACUCACUACAUUGUGGGCUCCCCCCUGGUUCAUGUGGAUUGAUAGCACCUACAACAUCCAUAAAUUUGCUCCUUUUGGUGAUUUGAUAUUUCAAAAAAGUGAAACAUAAUUCAAAUCGCAAUGAUUCAGAUAUUUGGAUUUGAGCAGAAAUAACUAAUGAACUGAACUCACAUGAUACACUGCAUAAAUCGUACAACUAGUGUUCAACUACGCAUCUAUCUACGGCUUUUAUGUAUAUCCAAGGGAACGAGCUGAGAACUAAGAAGAAAAAACUAGAGAGGAAGGCCGACCACCGCAUAUGGGGCGACGCCAGGAGCCUCGAUUUGACUAAGAAUAACUACCGAACUGAAUUCAUACAUAGUAAACAACAAAAAAUUGCACCACUCAUGUUCGACUUCACAUCUAUGACUUUACGUAUAUCAAAGGGAAUAAGCUUAGAAGUAAGAAGAAAUACUAGAGAGGAAGACUGACCCCGCACGGGCCAGGACGUAAGGGCGUGAGCAAGUGAAGUGUCAUGAAAAUCAAGAGGAAGCACAAAAUUCUGAUAAGAGAGGAGGAGGAGGGAGAAGAAAGCAGUUUUGCCAUUGCUUUUGAGUUCUUUCAAGCGCUUUCCUUUUUUAUUUUUUAUUUUUUAUUUAUUUCCAUGUAUGUAUAUAUAAGCCCCACAAGAAUCAUUAGUCAUAACAUUAGAUGAACAACAACAACAUCAUACUUAAUUACUUGGGACGCAGCACCCGUGACUCUGGCCCCUGGCUUUUGAUCAGGUCAACCAGCAAAUGCGGAAGAGACGUGCUUAAUGAGUGAAUCUCCCCAAGUCCUCUCACAUCAAUUUCAUCCCGUUCAAACUCGGGAUAUUUAAAAAAAUUGAAACAUAAUUCAAAUCACAACUAUUCAGAUAUUUGGAUCCGAGUAUGAAUAACUACCGAACUGAACUCACAUAUACGUAAUACACAGCAUAAAUCAUACAACUAAUGUUUGACUUCACAUCUGUCGAUGACUUCUAUGUAUAUCCAAAGGAACUAGCUUAGGAGUAAGAAGUAAUAACUAGAGAGGAAGACUGACCACCGCAUACGGGGCCCCUCCCUAUAGCUAGUGCGAGCAAGUGAAGGGUCAUGAAAAUCAAGAGAAAGCACAACAUUCUGAUAAGAAAGGAGGAGGAGAAGGAGGGAGAAAGUAGCUUUGCCAUUGCUUUGAGUUAUUUCGAGCACUUUCCUAUUUUUUUCAUGUCUAUGUAUAUAUAAGCACUACAAGAAUCAUUACUCAUAACGUUGCAUGAACAACAACGUCGCACUUAAUUACUUGGGAUGCAACACCCGUGACUCUGGGUCUCUCUGACUUUUGAACAGGUCAACAGCUAAAUGCGUCAGAGACGAGCUGAAAGAGUGAACCCCGCCAAGUGCUCUCACGUCAAUCUCAUCCCGUUCAACCUCAGGCCACGUUCACAAAGCACUCCCAAAACACUAUUAAUUUGAUCUUAUAUAACAAAGAACGUCCUUUUUUUUUUCCCAAAAUAUUGAUUAUAUAUAUCAUAGAAGAAAAGAAGAAGUCGAGAUCUAGGGAUAUUAAACAAAAAUAAAAUAAAAAUGAACCAUUCAAACUGAAAAUUUCGAGUUGGAUUUCCUUACGUUUCGAGUAAUAAGUAAAACAAUGGGUUUCUGGUGGCUCAGUUUGCUCACAAAGUCAACCCUAAACAUGUAAUUAAACGAAAGAGUGACGGUGCAAUCUGCACCACAUAUUUUGCCGAGGACAUUGGAUGACUUGCUUGUCCAGUCAAGUAGGAUAUCAAGAAGGAUCCCUCUCUGUGAAAAAGACAUUAGCUACUAGAGGCCGCCACAUCUGACUUUUGCUAUUACUUUGUACUACUCUGCUCUGCUCCCGCUACUCUCUUUCAAUUUCUUCUCUCAAUGGAAAAGAAAGAAAUAAAUGAACGAAGCACAGAAAACAUAAAACAUAAAACAUAAAAUCUCAAGUUGGUCUCAACUUCAGAGUACCAAAUGAAACUAUUCUUAUUGAUGAUGAAGAAGAAAUAAACUCCCCCUGCCUUUUUUUAUUUCAAUCACGCCAAUGAACUCGGAAAAGAAAAAAAAAACACAGCUUCUUCCCUUCAUGAUCUCCCAACUCAGAAAUUGUAUUCAAAUAGACUUGUAUGAUCUCAGAAUUUACAUAAAGAAAGAAAAAUCAUGAUUGCACCGUCACUUUUUCAUUUAAUUCUCUCUCUCUCUCUCUCUCUCUCUCUCUCUCGGCUCAAGGAAAUUAUUGGCUAGCAUUCGUUUUCUUCCAUUAAUUUUUGUUAUUCUUUUCUGAUUUUUCGUCGAGCUAUUUGAGCAAGGGGAAAUACAUAUGAUUGUGACGGUGCAAUCUACACCACAUUUUUUGUCAAAGACCUUAAAUGACUUGCUUGUCUGGUCCAGGAUAUCAAGAAGGACCCCCCUUAGUGAAAAAGAUAUUGGCUGCUUGAGGCUGCCACUUCUGACUUCUGCUAUUACUCCGCACUCCUCUACUAUGCUCUCGCUACUCUCUUUCAAUUUCUUGUCUCAAUGGAAAUGAAAGAACUAAAUGAACAGAGCAUAGAAAACAUAAAACUAAAUAUCUCAAGUUGGUCGCAACUUCAUAUUGAUGAAGAAGAAGAAAUAAACUCCUCUCACCUUUUUUAUUUCAAUUGCACCAACGAACUCAGAAAAGACAAAAAAACACAGUUUCUUCCAUUCUCAAUCUCCCAACUCUGAAAUUGUAUUCUAAUAGACUAGUAUGAUCUCAUAAUUUACAUAAGAAAAAAAAUAAUAUGUAUUUCUCCUGGCUUGAAUAGCUCAACAAAAAAUCAGAAAAGAAUAGCAAAAAAUUAAUGGAAGAAAACGAACGUUAGCCAGUAAUUUGCUCGAGAGAGAGAGAGAGAGAGAGAGAGAGAGAGAGAGAGAGAGAGAGAGAGAGAGAGAGAGAGAGAGAGAGAGAGAGAGAGAGAGAGAUAAUUAAAUGAAAGAGUGACGAUGCAAUCUACACCACAUUUUUUUGUUGAAGACCUUGGAUGACUUGCUUGUCCGGUCCAGUAGGAUAUCAAGAAGGAUCCCUCUAAAUGAAAAAGACAUUACCUACUAGAGGCCGCCACAUCUGACUUUUGCUAUUACUUUGUACUACUCUGCUCUGCUCCCGCUACUCUCUUUCAAUUUCUUCUCACAAUGGAAAUGAAAGAAAUAAAUGAAUGAAGCACAAAAAACAUAAAACAUAAAAUCUCAAGUUGGUCUCAACUUUAGGGUACCAAAUGAAACUAUUCUUACUGAAGAAGAAGAAGCAAUAAACUCCCCCCACCUUUUUUUUAUUUCAAUCACACCAACAAACUCGGAAAAGAAAAAAAGAACACAGCUUCUUCCCUUCAUUAUCUCCCAACUCAGAAAUUGUAUUCAAAUAGACUUGAUCUCAGAAUUUACAUAAAGAAAGAAAAAUCAUAUAUAUUGGAAAAGUCAAAUGCACGAAAACUUUGAAACAUAUAAAAGUGAAAUUAGGCUAAAUGGUUGAGAAAGACAAAGCAUACUUAGCAUUCUGAAAUAAAGAAAAAAUGAUGUAAAUGGUCACUGGACUUCAGUAUAAUGUACAAUGUUAUUCCCAAAUUUCUAAUUUAUUUAUAUGAUCCUUAAAUUUUUAUUAAUAUCUUGGACAUAGAGCUUCUCAUAAGAUCUAAAAACUAUAUUAAAUACCUCAUUGAACAAAUUUAAAAAUUGAAAAUGACAUUAUACAUUAGGUAAAAAUUAAUGAAUUUUAUUAUAUAAAUUAAAAAUUAAUAGACAAUAUUAAAUGUUAAAUCAAAAUUUAAAAAUAGUUUAUGUUAUGAACCCUAAAGUCAACGAUUCGCAUGAACUCAGCGACGUGCGUAGUAGGAAGGGCGCGUUUGGUAACGAUUCUGUUUCCGAGAGUAGAUUCUGAUCAGAAAUGAUUCUUUUUUAUUCUGUUCCCGGGAACUGAUUCUAAGCAUUUUAAGCCGUUUGAUAACUGUCCAAAAUUUCUGAUUCUAGAAUAGAAAUGCGUUUGGUACCAUGCUUAUUAAUUAUGUUUCAAAUCAAUUUCUUUUAAUUUUUAAAUAAUUUUUUUUUUACUUUUUUCUUUUCUUUUUUUCCUUUUUCUCCUAUUCUUCUUCUUCUUCUUCUUCUUCUUCUUCUUCUUCUUCUUCUUCUUAGCUGGGCGAGGCUCUCCUAGCCUUGCCGGUGGCUAGGCCGGCCUAGCCGGGGCUGGGUGAGGCCUGCCUAGCCACCGGCGGGGCUGGGCAAGCCUCGCUUGGCCAUCGGCGGGGCUGGGCGGGUGUCCUUGUUGCCGUAUGCCAGAGCUUCGACCAUUGCCCGCCGAAUGCCGUCGUCUCGCCACACCGACGCUACCCAACUCCUGCUCUGCUCUGUCUUGCCAGAAACUGCCACUGCCGCGCGAUUUGACGCCCGAGCCACUCCUGCCCUGAUCUGUCCGUGAUCACUCAGUGCCGACCGGCUUCUGCUCCACCUCGCAUGCAACCCGUGACUCACAGAUCUCGUGUCCGCAAGCCCACCUUGCCGCGUCUCCAACGAAGCCACCGCCUUGUUGCACCGCGAUGCCGCUUCUGUUUUGCCAUUAGCCCGAAGCUCCACCGUCGCUUGCCCCCUUGCGACACCAGCACCCACGGCCGCGCUUGGCGAGGCUCGCUUGGCCACCGGCGAGGCUGGGCGAGCCUCGCCGGACCGGCGGAUGGCGGCCGGCGGCAGGGGGCAGCGGUCGGCGACGGCAGACGGUGGCGGGCGGUGGUGGACGGCAGUCGUGAGAUGGCCGAAGGGAAGAAGAAGAGUUGUUGGUUUUGAUUCUCAAAUUUGUUCCCAAAACAAGAAUCAACUUUUUUUUUAUUCUUGAUUCCACUCCCAAUCUAUUCCCGAGAACAAAAAUUUUACCAAACGCGAUUCUAGGCUCAAACUGAUUCUGGGAACAAAGAAUAAGAAUUUGACCCUGUUUGGAUGGUUACCAAACAUGGCCUAAGUGGAGGGAGAAGGGGGUAGUGGGGUGGUCAAAGGCGUGGGAUCUAGAAAGUGCACCUGAUUCGCGGAAGGCGUGCGACGCAUACCGCGGGAUCGGCAACACAUGGCAAAGGAGAAGGGAGAAGGUGGGCGAGAUCUCUUCAGGCGAUUUCCUCGACUCCCUCCCCACGUGAGAGUCCGCGGACGGCCUUUACUAUACAUUGAUGGAUAACAAGAGAUAAAGAGGUUUGCGAUUCAUAUGAUCCGCUAUUAUGCGUCUCUAAGCCUUGCCAGGACAUUUUAUUCUUUAUAACUUGGCUGUGAGCGUCCAUCGUCAUUCAAGUCAAGGACGUCC